rnacentral:misc_RNA from 1 species
GCUUGAGCUGCCUGAGCUGGUCCUGCUGGGUUUCAGGGGUAAUGCUGCGGAGGAAAUAUACAUAAUCAUCGGCAUGGAAGCGGCAUAGAUCCCUAUCUCGGGCAGGAAAGGGCUUAAGGACCUGCAUGUGCUGGAGCAAACCAUAGUGGGCAAGAAGAGCAUGGGUCAUUCGAAUGCGAUGCGGCUUCAUGGGGUGACCUUGCCCAUAAUAGUAAUUGCCCACCUCCGGGUCAUAAAAAUAGCAAACCUUUCUCUUCACCCCAUCAGGACCUGACGGCAAAGAAUUGCCUCCAGUCUCCAUUUUUACGAAUUUUACUAUCAGUAUUUUCUACCAAAAUCACCAAUUCUGUACAACUGUAUAAAACAGAAGCUUCAAAAAAAAAAAAAAAAGACUCCAAGCUCU